rnacentral:rRNA from 1 species
GAUGAACGCUGGCGGCGUGCCUAAUACAUGCAAGUCGAGCGAACAGAUGAGGAGCUUGCUCCUCUGACGUUAGCGGCGGACGGGUGAGUAACACGUGGAUAACCUACCUAUAAGACUGGGAUAACUUCGGGAAACCGGAGCUAAUACCGGAUAAUAUAUUGAACCGCAUGGUUCAAUAGUGAAAGACGGUUUUGCUGUCACUUAUAGAUGGAUCCGCGCCGCAUUAGCUAGUUGGUAAGGUAACGGCUUACCAAGGCAACGAUGCGUAGCCGACCUGAGAGGGUGAUCGGCCACACUGGAACUGAGACACGGUCCAGACUCCUUCGGGAGGCAGCAGUAGGGAAUCUUCCGCAAUGGGCGAAAGCCUGACGGAGCAACGCCGCGUGAGUGAUGAAGGUCUUCGGAUCGUAAAACUCUGUUAUUAGGGAAGAACAAAUGUGUAAGUAACUAUGCACGUCUUGACGGUACCUAAUCAGAAAGCCACGGCUAACUACGUG